UAUGUUAGUUGACUCAAGCCCGUCAUUAUGGCUGUUUCUAUGUUGCACACAUUUCUAGUAGCCUCGACUGUGUUCUUCAACCACGCUGUGAAUGGACAAUGGAAUCCAAUGUCUAACGGCUGGAACGAGAUGAGUGGAUGGGAAUCCGGCCCCGGUCAAUGGGGGGAUUCCAGUGGUGGUAAUUGGGGUGAUGGUGAAGGUUGGGGUAAAGCCCCAUCUACAUCAUGGGGUGGAAAUCCCUGGGCUUCUUCAGGAAACAGCUAUGAACCCACAGCUGCUACUUGUCACGUCCAAGAUAAGCACGGUAACGGAUUUGAAGUAACGAUAGAACCUGUCCAAAUGAAUCCAUGGGCUUCAGCAUGGGGAGGAUUUCAACAACAAGGUGGUGUUACCAUUCGCAUACACGUCCAUUCUGAAAACUUAGAUGAUAAAUACAUCAUUGCUGUCACAGAACUAUCUACUGACUACGUUCAGUGUGAGACCGGUGAUCUUGGUUAUGUAGUGGACGGUCAACCUUCUACACCAAACCCUGGAUUCUGGGGUGCUUUUAAUAAUUUCGGGCGAAUGAGACGUCCUGCUGGAAUAGGGUCUGUUACUCUUGAACCUGGAGAAGAAGAAGACGUUACGAUCACAAAUAGUGGUAUUUACCAGACUUUCCAUGAUUUCCGUGGACGAGGUUUAGCUUUGUGUACUGAAGUGGUAGAAGACCACCCAAGUGGAGGCCAUGGUGGAUGGGGUGGAUGGGGUAUGAUGCAACAAAGCCGUCCCCGAUAUGUCUGUGAGCAUCCAGUUUUGUGUUGUAAACUCGGCUUGGCAUCGGCUCCCAGCGAUGCAGCUCACCAUUAAGCAGCGCUCUCGUCCGCUUUGGGUUUCAAUGGGAACCAAACAAAACACUAAUCUAUAAAAUGAUAUAUGUACAUCAAUUUAUUAAAAAUAGUUUGUUUUAUAACAUUCAAAGAUACGAUUUACAUAUCAUUACAUAGUUUAUAAAUGAUAAUUAAGACUUAUAUAUAAAGGAAAUGAUUAAAUAUUUUUGAUGACAAUAACUUGCACAUUAGUUGCACGCUGAUUGUAUUAUCAUAAACACCAGUUAAUUAUACAGAUAUAAUAAUAACUCUUUGAUUGUAUAUUACGGUAUCAUAUUUCAUGAACAUUUGUUUUUAACAGUUUCGGUGAUGAAUUUUUCAACACAAUAAAAUUUGUACAAUUUUUUGUAUUGAUGUCUGUCUUGUGCUCUCUGAAUUAAUAUCAAGAAAGCUGACUUGUAUUUUGUUAAUGGUUUAAAUGGUUAACAAAAAUGGUUUUAACAUUCUCAGAACAUAAAGAGGCAGAUUUUACAAAACAACUAAAUA